CCUACGGGAGGCAGCAGUGAGGAAUAUUGGACAAUGCGGCGCAAGCCUGAUCCAGCCAUGCCGCGUGCAGGAAGAAGGUCCUAUGGAUUGUAAACUGCUUUUAUACAGGAAGAAACAUCUCUACGUGUAGAGACUUGACAGUACCGUAUGAAUAAG
rnacentral:rRNA from 1 species